ensembl:miRNA mdo-mir-12374 mdo-mir-12374
CUAGCUGCCCUUGCUUUGUCAUUUUAAACAAGCUCAAUAUGAAAUGACUUCAGGGGCAGCUGGG